AUUUGCCAAAUGGAGGGUGGGAAAGGCUAUGAUGUCACUGAGCUCUUCAGUACAGUUCAUUCUACUGCCAAUGUUUGUCUAUGGAGAUUGUAUGGUUGUGUGCUCGAUUUUAUACUCCUGUCAGCAACGGGAAUUGUAGUCAAAUUGUACAACUGAAUGCAUCUUCCGCAUUUUAACCCAACUCCUCUGAAUCAGAGAGGUGCAGGGGGUGGGGGCUGCCUCUUCGGCGCCCGGGGAACAGUGGGUUAAACUGCCUUGCUCACGGGUAGAAUGACAGAUUGUUACCUUGUCAACUCAGGGAUUCGAUACCAGCAACCUUUCGGUUACUGGCCCAACACGCUAACCACUAGGAUACCUGCCUCUAACCACUAGGAUACCUGUCUCUAACCACUAGGAUACCUGUCUCUAACCACUAGGAUACUUGCCUCUAACCACUAGGAUACCUGUCUCUAACCACUAGGCUACCUGUCUCUAACCACUAGGAUACCUGUCUCUAACCACUAGGAUCCCUGUCUCUAACCACUAGGCUACCUGUCUCUAACCACUAGGCUACCUGUCUCUAACCACUAGGAUACCUGCAGUGUGGCUAAUUUGAAGGGGAGUACACAUACUGCUGUAUAUAUAGUGUAAGUAGCGUUUCAAUCCAGCCAUUUCAGCUCCCUCUUUCCUUUCUAUCCUCUCCUCUCUCUCUCUCUCUCUCUCUCUCUCUCUCUCUCUCUCUAUUCUAUCACUACCAUUCAUUUUUCUACAUUUUUCAUUGACUGAGUGGUGCCCAUCCUCCCUUUUUGAUUUUGUGCCAGUCACUAGCGACCCGUCAUUCAGGGCAGGUAGGGCAGAGCUGGCCUUUUAGACAGAGUUUCUCUGUCCAGUGUCUGUGUUCUUUUGUCCAUCUUAAUCUUUUAUUUUUAUUGGCCAGUCUGAGACAUGGCUUUUUUCUUUGCAACUCUGCCUAGAAGGCCAGCAUCCCAGAGUCGCCUCUUCACUGUUGACGUUGAGACUGGUGUUUCGCGGGUACUAUUUAAUGAAGCUGCCAGUUGAGGACUUAUGAGGCGUCUGUUUCUCAAACUAGCUGUACUAACAUAAUUGCAAAAGGGUUUUCUAAUGAUCAAUUAGCCUUUUAAAAUGAUAAACUUGGAUUAGCUAACCCAAUGUGCCAUUGGAACACAGGAGUGACGGUUGCUGAUAAUGGGCUCUGUACGCCUAUGUAGAUAUUCCAUAAAAAAUC
rnacentral:lncRNA from 1 species